GAGAAAAAUCUACUUCCGCAUUCUAAAUGCGCCACAGGGUGGUGACGUAGCUAUCGGGCUUGGAAUGCCAGCCUCAGUCAGAGACAGAGAACGAAGGGAGGAAGAAACUGCACCUCAGGCUCGGACAUGGAAGUAAGUACAGACUCAAAACUUAAUCUAACAACUAUUAACUGGCCAAUUUUCAUAAACUAAUGGCUUAGCAUAUCUAAGAAUGUAAAAAGGACGUUUGGUAAAGACUCGAUGAGCCUAAGAUGUAUCUGUUUGGAUAGUACUGACAAAGUAGCGAACAAGCUAACGCUAUCGCUAACAGGGGAAAUAAAACUUCGAUCUUUACAUUUGACUGACUGCAAGCAAAUCCCCUUCAUAUAUUUUUUACUUUUAGGAGGCAAGGAGCACAUGGCUUCAUUGAUAAAAGCUAUGAUGAGAAAAUUGCCUGUUUUUGGAGUCUAAACAUGAUGCAGCUGCUUGGAGAAUAAAAGCUAAGGACAGACAACACAGCAGUAUCACCUGAUGUUGCUGAUAGACCUCCAGCCGACUUCUACAAAGACACACUUCGGAUGCAAAUGACUGGGAACAAUAAGCUCGGUGAUGAACAGCUAAUGGGUGAACUGAUUAUGAUGAUCUGCACUGGCGUUGACCUGUCUCCAAUGAUACUGCUACAGAAACAAAACAAAAAUGUUUCUUCCGUUCUCCGCAGUGACACACUUACAGAGUACGGUGCAAAGAGAGCCUGCCCGGUGUUCUGUUGUGCACCCUUGUCGAGAUGUGCAUAUCCUCACUCAAAACAACGGCUUUGAGACGUGUCAUUGCUGCCUGUGCUGUCCUCCACAACAGAAGACCUGCAGACCUGCACACUGGGCCAAUGCUGUUGUCACCGUCAUAUACUCUGAAGUCUGAAACAGUUUCCAAUGGGAUAAACCAGGCACAACAAUGUCUUAAUAAAGUGAAUGCCCUUCGUUCAUUUAUUGCUGGUGUAAAUACAAAACAAGUUUAGUUUACAGCUGUGCCAAAUAUAGAAACCUCUACACUGACUUUACACUUCCUUAGCACUGAGGAAGAGCAUUUAAAACAAUAUCCCAGAAGAAUAUACUUUUGACCGCAUAUACUGUAGAAUAUAACUUUCCCUUUGUGAGACUAAAAUAAACCCUUAUGGUAUAUACCAGAAUAUUUGUGUAUACUAACUAGUUCAUACUAGUUAAUAUUUGUAUUAUGAAAAGAUGCAUGAAAAUUUAAGAACAAUAACCCUGAGGCCAGCUAUAGUGCUAUACUGCGUUUAAGCAGUAGGUGGUCGAACCUAUCCAAUUUUGCAUUUAAAACGUGACUGUCUGUAAAAAGGUAAGAGAGAAGCUACUAUGGAUUUCAUCUAACGGAUUUCUUUGAAGGGCUCCACACUAUGUCUUAUGUUAUUUUUACAAAAUCAUUUGUGGAGCAGUGGUGUCUGACUGUUGGAGCAAUGAUAUAAAAAACACUUCUGAAAAUAAACAUUGUCUUCUUAA
rnacentral:lncRNA from 1 species